UACGUAGGGGGCAAGCGUUGUCCGGAAUCAUUGGGCGUAAAGAGCGUGUAGGCGGCUUGUUAAGUCUUGCGUGAAAUCUCGGGGCUCAACCCCGAGCGGUCGUGAGAAACUGGCAGGCUAGAGUGCGGGAGAGGAGAGUGGAAUUCCUGGUGUAGCGGUGAAAUGCGCAGAUGUCAGGAAGAACACCCGUGGCGAAGGCGGCUCUCUGGAACGCAACUGACGCUGAGACGCGAAAGCGUGGGGAGCAAACAGG
rnacentral:rRNA from 1 species